UUAUUGUUCUCAAUAGGAGUAAUAAGGAAGACCAAUGCAAAAUAAAAAUUAAAACAAAUCCAUUUGUUCCUUGUACUGAGAAAAUAACAAUGAGAAAAAUUGUUUGACAUCUUGGCCUCAAGAACUGUUCCAAUCCUUUGCAUUCUGUCAUGUAAAUCCACUUAUUUUCUAUCAACUCUUAAUGAUCUAACAAUAGCUCAUGGCACACAGCUGUUUCCCUCUCGUCGACAAGAGUACAUAUUACAUAUUCACUAGUCUCGUGUCAACCAAAAGAGAACGAAAGUAACAAGUCUUUGACCCAAGUAUAACGUUGCAGCAAUCUGAUAUUGACUGUUAUGAUCUGAACUUAGAUGUCAGCGUCAAGAAAGCUUGCAGAAAGCGUUACCUUUUCACCAAGUUUGAAUGGAGGAAGACCCUUAUAAGGGCAUGUACCGCAGCGGAAAGCAUCACCAAGACCACAACUGCCACAGGCAGAUUGAGGAUUGUUCAGUUGUUCAGCAGUUGGUCCAAGUUGCACUUUUGUCUCAGCUUCAGCCCGUCCGCACGUACAAUUUUUACAUGCUUUCUUUGUUUUUCCAACUUCACAGUCAUCAACACUUGGCAAUUGUGGUUUCUUCAGAUCUUCCUCAGUGAGAAGGCUAUCCUCAUCAAUAAGAUCUGAAUCAUCAUCAAUCUGAACUUUCGGUAAACUUUUUGCGACUUUCUUGAUAGAAAAGGAUGAACCAACCUUCCAUGAAGGUUUCUUUGCUGUUAUCACGAUAGAGUGGCCAGCUUCAAAUGACUGUGUAUCAGAGAAUCCAGCCAAUAAUAACUUGCGGUCAUGGGUGGAUUUUUCCUUCGAGACUGAUUGAGAACUUAGGCUAAGUAGGACUGUUCCACCAGGCUUCAACACUCUUGAGAUGUCCCCACACAAUUUAUCACUAGGAAACUCAAGGGACCUACAGAUGAGAGCAACAACAUCCAUAGAUGCAGUCUCCACUGGUGUCAGACUCUGGGCUGAAGCUUGAGUAACAAUCAUUGGGUCCAACUUCUCAACUCCCUCUUUCUUCAAGAUAUUGAUUGCGUUGUAUACCACACUAACUGGUACCAUAACAUCCUCGACAAGCACCAGUAUACUACCAUCUCCGUCUUGGCCGCCCGUGACUGCCAUGACUAACAACAGGCGGCGACAAAAAAUUGCAGAACUGAGGGGAUAAUUGAAGAAGAAGAAGUUCCACUCCUUCAGGCUUUCAGUUUUUU
rnacentral:misc_RNA from 1 species